rnacentral:rRNA from 1 species
AUUGAACGCUGGCGGCAGGCCUAACACAUGCAAGUCGAACGAGUGGCGGACGGGUGAGUAAUGUCUGGGAAUUUGCCUGAUGGAGGGGUAUAACUACUGGAAACGGUCGCUAAUACCGCAUACCAUCAGAUGUGCCCAGAUGGUAUUAGCUUGUUGGUGGGGUAACGGCUCACAAAGGCGACGAUCCCUAGCUGGUCUGAGAGGAUGACCAGCCACACGGGAACUGUGACACGGUCCAGACUCCUAAGGGAGGCAGCAGUGGGGAAUAUUGCACAAGGGGCGCAAGCCUGAUGCAGCCAUGCCGCGUGUAUGAAGAAGGCCUUCGGGUUGUAAAGUACGUUCAGCGGGGAGGCGUUACCCGCAGAAGAAGCACCGGCUAACUCCGUGCCAGCCGCCGCGGUAAUAC